UGUUCUUUUAUUCUUUGGACUUACGUCUUUUAUACUUUUCAAAGGACUUUCAUAUCCUUUAUGUCAUCUCACACUGACGACAUCCCUGCAGGGUGGAAGGACAGGUAUUAUUAUAAUAACUCAGCCACUCUUCCAACAACAGUCAUCAUUCAUGACUGAGGCCCCAGAGCCCACAGCAGGAAAAGCAACUGAAUCACUUUAUGGCCUCCCAAUCCCCACCCAGGAAGGUCCUCUGAGGCCGACUGUGUGACCAGGCUUUGCAAGUGGCCGAAGGAAAGAGUCCCGAUCAAAGGACAGCCUGCCUGAUGGUCAGAUGCCAACAGCUCUGCCUGCCGGUGACGAACAUGCUUCUGUAGAGCAAAUGGCUGGACUAUUUCAUGGCCCCACAGCCUAAAUUUAACCAGGGGGAAUUCUUUUUUUAGACGCUAUUCUACUCAACCUUUAAAAAUGAAGGAUCCGAAUUUAAUGUGAAAUCUGCAUUUCAUCAAAGAUGGGACACCGCGUCCUUGGCUUAAUUAUUCUUUGGAAAUCGAACAUCUUUACUACUGCAUGCUUAACAGGUGUCUAUUUCAUACCUUCUCCUCUCGUCUCAACCUUCAAAUUCUUCUCCAACAUCUUUGUUUUCAGUCAAUGACCUCCUUCCUUCUGUGAACAACAAAACGAUGCAAAGGGAGAGCUGCAGAGACCCCUCCCCUCUCAUCAUCCAGCCGGGCCUCCAUGCAGAGGCCCUCUGUCUUCCCACCACUGCCAUAUAUGGACCAUCUAUGCCCCAUUCCAAAGCCAGUCCCGCUGCUCCAAUGCUGGACUCUAGUCCCACCUACCAUGAUGCUCCCAGAAGUCCCACCCCCGUCCCCCUGCACCAACAAUGUCAGUAGUUGUGUCAAUAUGCUGGUAUUUCUCCCUUCUUAAAAAGAUACCUCUCUUCACCAUAAUUCA